CCUACGGGUGGCAGCAGUGGGGAAUAUUGGGCAAUGGACGCAAGUCUGACCCAGCAACGCCGCGUGAAGGAAGAAGGCUUUCGGGUUGUAAACUUCUUUUAAGGGGGAAGAGCAGAAGACGGUACCCCUUGAAUAAGCCACUGCUAACUACGUGCCAGCAGCCGCGGUAAUACGUAGGUGGCAAGCGUUGUACGGAUUUACUGGGUGUAAAGGGCGUGCAGCGGGAGAUACAAGUCAGAUGUGAAAUCCACGGGCUCAACCCGGGAACUGCUUUUGAAACUGUUGCCCUUGAGUGUCGGAGGGGUAACCGGAAUUCCUGGUGUAGCGGGGAAUUGCGAAGUUAUAAGGAAGACCACCAGUGGCGAAGGCGGAUUACUGGACGAUAACUGCCGGUGAGGCGCGAAAGCGUGGGGAGCAAACAGAAUUGGAAACCCUGUAGUC
rnacentral:rRNA from 1 species